rnacentral:snoRNA from 1 species
ACGAUCUUACUUGAACAGGAUCUGUUCUAUAGGCUCGUACCAUUGUAUCCUUGAGUUCUAAGGAGACAGGAAACCAAGUCUGGUUGAUGAGCCGUGGCCAUUAGACCAGAGCGUGAUUAACAGGCUCCCACGGCCCUCGGGUUAUGGUGCCGUAGAUGAUCGUUCUCACACCCUAACCAUAGGUGCUGGGAUGGUAUAGUGGCUGUCUGACGGACU